rnacentral:lncRNA from 1 species
GAGCAAAGCUGGGCCUGCCUAAGACGGGACCCCUGACCCUCCCACAUGAAAGCCACUGGCCCUCACGGGACCACCACCAGGGUGCUUCAUGGGGCGUUAGGCAGGCAGCGCCUGUUAACAGCUGCAGAGUCUCUGUCCGCCUCCUAACAUGUUCCCCACAUGCAGAAGAGCAGCUGCUCCAUCACCGAGGCCGGCGCGCACACAAAAGGAGAUGGAGGAUUUGUCUCUAGUCCUUGCCUGCUGUUCAGCGUGAAUGAACACUUACACUGGACAAAUGCUGUCCCCGAGGAUUCUGGACUCCAACAGAACCAGUGGGGGAGACUCCCACCUCCUUGGCAGCAGCCCAACUCGCCAGGAGUAAAACCCGUUUGGUUCUGACCGUUUAU